GCUUGCUAAUUAAGAUCUUAGUGGCGGACGGGUUAGUAACACGUGAGAACCUACCCUUUAGACAGGAAUAGCCCAUGGAAACGUGGAUUAAUGCCUGAUAGUCUCUACGGAGUAAAUGGUGCCUUCGGGUAUCGCUAGAGGAUGGGCUCGCGGCCUAUCAGCUUGUUGGUGAGGUAAAGGCUCACCAAGGCGACGACGGGUAGCUGGUCUGAGAGGACGAUCAGCAACACUGGAACUGAGACACGGUCCAGACACCUACGGGUGGCAGCAGUCGAGAAUCAUUCACAAUGGAGGCAACUCUGAUGGUGCAACGCCGCGUGGAGGAUGACGGUCCUAGGAUUGUAAACUCCUGUCAUUGGGGAGUAAGACUUAAGCGUUAAGAGCGUUUAAGUUUGAUAGUACCCAAAGAGGAAGGGACGGCUAACUUCGUGCCAGCAGCCGCGGUAAUACGAAGGUCCCAAGCGUUGUUCGGAAUCACUGGGCGUAAAGCGUGUGUAGGCUGCGCGGAAAGUCAAAUGUGAAAGCCCGGGGCUCAACCUCGGAACUGCAUUCGAUACUCCCGUGCUAGAGUAAUGG
rnacentral:rRNA from 1 species